AUCUUUGGAAUUGGCACCAUUUCAGCCAGAUGGGCAGUUUGACCUCCCUGUAACUAGGGGUUGAGUCUUCCAGGCCCUUUGGGGCUCUUGGCAUUGUGCUUUCUUCACAGCCUGAGGCGAGUGACCGCCCUGUAAUCAGGGAUCUGGUCUUUGCCCUCUAGUCUCUUGGCACUAGGUCAAGUGCAGCCCACUGAUCUGAAUGAGCACCCUGUAAACAGGGUACAGGUCUCAUCAGACACUAGUUCUGGUGCCCCCAUGAGACUGUGUCCAGAGUCCUGGCCCUUUGCACUGCGCUUUCAACUUGCCUGGAAUUGUGCAGCCAAGUCUCCUGCUUUCUGCUCCGCUUACUGUGCUCUUGGAGACCCGACCUCCUGCUGCUGUUGCAGACAGCUCCAAGCACAAGUGGACAAGAAGGAAGUGUCAGGAAUGUCAAGCAAAGAAGAGUACAAGAGGACAAGUCACUGAAGAUGGAGGAGAAGGAAAGGGACUCUGGGCGCAGUAACCUCCCUGUAUCAGGCCUCAGGUCGUGUAAUUACACUGUACGGGGAUCUCGAGCCUUUUACUACCUUGAGCAGCGUGACCGUCCUGUAAGCAGGGUCCAGGUCUGUGCUGUUUUGUCCUUUUGACAUUAUGCUCCGUUAGCUGGCUAGUGAGAGUGACUGCCCUGUAAUCAGGGUGCAAGUCACCUCCCCCUCGCUUUCGAAGGACAUUGAGCUCUUUGGUAACUUGAGCAAUGUGACCGCCCUGUAACUAGGGUCCGGGUCUUUGCCCAUUUGCUCAUUUGGCGCCUUGCUGUAGCCCUGAAGUCGGGAUGACAACCCUGUAAUCAGGGUGCAAGUCAUAUUCCUUUUGCUUCUUGGGGAUACUGAGCUCUUUAGAACCCUGAGCAGGGUGACUCACCUCCCUGUAAUUCAGAGUCAGGUCUCUGCCAUCUUGCUGUUUUGCCAUCAUGCCCUGCUGAGAGUCUACUCACUGUGACCACCUGUAUAUCAGGUGCAUGUCACAAGCUUCUGUAGUAUGGGAAAUACUGAGUCCUUUGAUACCUGAUGGGGCGUGACCACCCUGUAAUUCGGGGUCAGGUCUCUGCCCUUUUGCUCCCUGGCUUUAUGCACCUUUUUCUAUCUAAUCGGAAAGACCACACCGUAAUUUGGGUGCAGAUCAAAAGCCUCUCAUUUAUCAGGGAUUAGGGUUAUUUUAGGGCCCUGAGGAGCAUGACCGCCCUGUAAUCAGGAUUCAGGUCUCAAGUUGUCGUCUGUGAUUAUGCUCUUUAAUUCAGCUAGUCAGAGUGACCACCUUGUAAUCAGGGUGAGAGUCACCAUCCCCUCGCUUAUGGGAGCUACUGAUGUCUUUGUUACUUGAGCUGGGUGACCUCCCUGUAACUAGGGCUCAGGUCUCUGUCCUUUGCUCUUCUGGGUUUGCGUCUUGUUCUCAGCCUGGUCAGCAUGACUGCCCUGUAAUUAGGGUGGAGGUCAUGCGCCUCUUAUUUAGGGAGGACUAGGUUCCCCUUAAUGCGUUGGGCUGAGUGACCACCCUGUAAGUAGGGUUCAGGUCUCCCCCUUUUCUCUUACUUGUGAUGGAUUUUCCAUUAAUCGGCUAGCCCGAGGGACCGCCCUGUAAGAAGGGUUCAGGUCCUUUCCCCUGUGGCUCCUUUGGGUUGUUGGGCUAGUCACUUUGACCCCUCCCUGUAAUCAGGGUGCAGGUCUUGUCCCUUUUCCCUUUGUUUUUUUGCGGGGAGGAAGAUUGGUCGAGUUUAACACUGAGGGUCGAGUGACCGCUUUCGAUGAGCUCUCUUUCUGUUCUGGGAAGUCCCCCUUUGUUUUGUACGGAUGUGUUUGUGAGAGCACGUGAUAGAAGUGGGUGUGCAAGCUUUUUAAUUUUUAGUUAUUUAUUUUUCUUUUUUUAAGUUAAAUCGCUGCAGCGCUUUUUCUUUACUCUUCUCCGAAUCGGAAAAAGAGCUCAAAGGGUAUUAAUGUUUUUAUCCACCUCCUCCCCACAAAAGGGAAGAGUAAAAGCUCAGAUGUCAUCUUUGAGUGCCUUGGAUAGCGUGACCUCCCUGUAAACAGGGAUCUGGUCUCUCCUUUUAGGCUGAGUUCCAUUUAGGGGGUUGAUGACAAUGCCUGGCCUUUAAGGAGGCGGAUUUAGCUCAGGUGCCUGUGACUCACAGGAACUACAGCAUCCCUUAGUACUUGGGCAGCAUGGCCCCACCCUGUAUCGAGGGUUCAGGUCUCUGCGCUUCAUUCUUUUGCCACCAUGCUACUUCAGCCGGUUGGGUUUGAGUCCUGACCUUGUAAUUAAGGGAUUGUCUGUGUCCUUCUGCCUUCUGGGGGAUAUUGAGCUCUGUGGAACCCUGAGCAGUCUGACCGCCCAGUAAGUAGGGUCCAGGUCUUUGCCACUUGCUUAUUUGGCAUUAGGCCAUGCUCUGGUCAACUAGUCAGCGUGACAACCCUGUCAUUAGGGUGCAUGUCACAAAUAUCUAUCGAAUGGGACAUAUUGAGUUCUUUGGUACUUGGAGGAGCUUGACCUUCCUGUAAUUCAGGUUACGGUCUCUGCUGUUUGGCUAAUCCCUGUGACCACCCUGUAAUCAGGUUGCAUCUCUCUUUUGAAAUCUUUGGAAUUGGCACCAUUUCAGCCAGAUGGGCAGUUUGACCUCCCUGUAACUAGGGGUUGAGUCUUCCAGGCCCUUUGGGGCUCUUGGCAUUGUGCUUUCUUCACAGCCUGAGGCGAGUGACCGCCCUGUAAUCAGGGAUCUGGUCUUUGCCCUCUAGUCUCUUGGCACUAGGUCAAGUGCAGCCCACUGAUCUGAAUGAGCACCCUGUAAACAGGGUACAGGUCUCAUCAGACACUAGUUCUGGUGCCCCCAUGAGACUGUGUCCAGAGUCCUGGCCCUUUGCACUGCGCUUUCAACUUGCCUGGAAUUGUGCAGCCAAGUCUCCUGCUUUCUGCUCCGCUUACUGUGCUCUUGGAGACCCGACCUCCUGCUGCUGUUGCAGACAGCUCCAAGCACAAGUGGACAAGAAGGAAGUGUCAGGAAUGUCAAGCAAAGAAGAGUACAAGAGGACAAGUCACUGAAGAUGGAGGAGAAGGAAAGGGACUCUGGGCGCAGUAACCUCCCUGUAUCAGGCCUCAGGUCGUGUAAUUACACUGUACGGGGAUCUCGAGCCUUUUACUACCUUGAGCAGCGUGACCGUCCUGUAAGCAGGGUCCAGGUCUGUGCUGUUUUGUCCUUUUGACAUUAUGCUCCGUUAGCUGGCUAGUGAGAGUGACUGCCCUGUAAUCAGGGUGCAAGUCACCUCCCCCUCGCUUUCGAAGGACAUUGAGCUCUUUGGUAACUUGAGCAAUGUGACCGCCCUGUAACUAGGGUCCGGGUCUUUGCCCAUUUGCUCAUUUGGCGCCUUGCUGUAGCCCUGAAGUCGGGAUGACAACCCUGUAAUCAGGGUGCAAGUCAUAUUCCUUUUGCUUCUUGGGGAUACUGAGCUCUUUAGAACCCUGAGCAGGGUGACUCACCUCCCUGUAAUUCAGAGUCAGGUCUCUGCCAUCUUGCUGUUUUGCCAUCAUGCCCUGCUGAGAGUCUACUCACUGUGACCACCUGUAUAUCAGGUGCAUGUCACAAGCUUCUGUAGUAUGGGAAAUACUGAGUCCUUUGAUACCUGAUGGGGCGUGACCACCCUGUAAUUCGGGGUCAGGUCUCUGCCCUUUUGCUCCCUGGCUUUAUGCACCUUUUUCUAUCUAAUCGGAAAGACCACACCGUAAUUUGGGUGCAGAUCAAAAGCCUCUCAUUUAUCAGGGAUUAGGGUUAUUUUAGGGCCCUGAGGAGCAUGACCGCCCUGUAAUCAGGAUUCAGGUCUCAAGUUGUCAUCUGUGAUUAUGCUCUUUAAUUCAGCUAGUCAGAGUGACCACCUUGUAAUCAGGGUGAGAGUCACCAUCCCCUCGCUUAUGGGAGCUACUGAUGUCUUUGUUACUUGAGCUGGGUGACCUCCCUGUAACUAGGGUUCAGGUCUCUGUCCUUUGCUCUUCUGGGUUUGCGUCUUGUUCUCAGCCUGGUCAGCAUGACUGCCCUGUAAUUAGGGUGGAGGUCAUGCGCCUCUUAUUUAGGGAGGACUAGGUUCCCCUUAAUGCGUUGGGCUGAGUGACCACCCUGUAAGUAGGGUUCAGGUCUCCCCCUUUUCUCUUACUUGUGAUGGAUUUUCCAUUAAUCGGCUAGCCCGAGGGACCGCCCUGUAAGAAGGGUUCAGGUCCUUUCCCCUGUGGCUCCUUUGGGUUGUUGGGCUAGUCACUUUGACCCCUCCCUGUAAUCAGGGUGCAGGUCUUGUCCCUUUUCCCUUUGUUUUUUUGCGGGGAGGAAGAUUGGUCGAGUUUAACACUGAGGGUCGAGUGACCGCUUUCGAUGAGCUCUCUUUCUGUUCUGGGAAGUCCCCCUUUGUUUUGUACGGAUGUGUUUGUGAGAGCACGUGAUAGAAGUGGGUGUGCAAGCUUUUUAAUUUUUAGUUAUUUAUUUUUCUUUUUUUAAGUUAAAUCGCUGCAGCGCUUUUUCUUUACUCUUCUCCGAAUCGGAAAAAGAGCUCAAAGGGUAUUAAUGUUUUUAUCCUCCUCCUCCCCACAAAAGGGAAGAGUAAAAGCUCAGAUGUCAUCUUUGAGUGCCUUGGACAGCGUGACCUCCCUGUAAACAGGGAUCUGGUCUCUCCUUUUAGGCUGAGUUCCAUUUAGGGGGCUGAUGACAAUGCCUGGCCUUUAAGGCGGCGGAUUUAGCUCAGGUGCCUGUGACUCACAGGAACUACAGCAUCCCUUAGUACUUGGGCAGCAUGGCCCCACCCUGUAUCGAGGGUUCAGGUCUCUGCGCUUCAUUCUUUUGCCACCAUGCUACUUCAGCCGGUUGGGUUUGAGUCCUGACCUUGUAAUUAAGGGAUUGUCUGUGUCCUUCUGCCUUCUGGGGGAUAUUGAGCUCUGUGGAACCCUGAGCAGUCUGACCGCCCAGUAAGUAGGGUCCAGGUCUUUGCCACUUGCUUAUUUGGCAUUAGGCCAUGCUCUGGUCAACUAGUCAGCGUGACAACCCUGUCAUUAGGGUGCAUGUCACAAAUAUCUAUCGAAUGGGACAUAUUGAGUUCUUUGGUACUUGGAGGAGCUUGACCUUCCUGUAAUUCAGGUUACGGUCUCUGCUGUUUGGCUAAUCCCUGUGACCACCCUGUAAUCAGGUUGCAUCUCUCUUUUGAAAUCUUUGGAAUUGGCACCAUUUCAGCCAGAUGGGCAGUUUGACCUCCCUGUAACUAGGGGUUGAGUCUUCCAGGCCCUUUGGGGCUCUUGGCAUUGUGCUUUCUUCACAGCCUGAGGCGAGUGACCGCCCUGUAAUCAGGGAUCUGGUCUUUGCCCUCUAGUCUCUUGGCACUAGGUCAAGUGCAGCCCACUGAUCUGAAUGAGCACCCUGUAAACAGGGUACAGGUCUCAUCAGACACUAGUUCUGGUGCCCCCAUGAGACUGUGUCCAGAGUCCUGGCCCUUUGCACUGCGCUUUCAACUUGCCUGGAAUUGUGCAGCCAAGUCUCCUGCUUUCUGCUCCGCUUACUGUGCUCUUGGAGACCCGACCUCCUGCUGCUGUUGCAGACAGCUCCAAGCACAAGUGGACAAGAAGGAAGUGUCAGGAAUGUCAAGCAAAGAAGAGUACAAGAGGACAAGUCACUGAAGAUGGAGGAGAAGGAAAGGGACUCUGGGCGCAGUAACCUCCCUGUAUCAGGCCUCAGGUCGUGUAAUUACACUGUACGGGGAUCUCGAGCCUUUUACUACCUUGAGCAGCGUGACCGUCCUGUAAGCAGGGUCCAGGUCUGUGCUGUUUUGUCCUUUUGACAUUAUGCUCCGUUAGCUGGCUAGUGAGAGUGACUGCCCUGUAAUCAGGGUGCAAGUCACCUCCCCCUCGCUUUCGAAGGACAUUGAGCUCUUUGGUAACUUGAGCAAUGUGACCGCCCUGUAACUAGGGUCCGGGUCUUUGCCCAUUUGCUCAUUUGGCGCCUUGCUGUAGCCCUGAAGUCGGGAUGACAACCCUGUAAUCAGGGUGCAAGUCAUAUUCCUUUUGCUUCUUGGGGAUACUGAGCUCUUUAGAACCCUGAGCAGGGUGACUCACCUCCCUGUAAUUCAGAGUCAGGUCUCUGCCAUCUUGCUGUUUUGCCAUCAUGCCCUGCUGAGAGUCUACUCACUGUGACCACCUGUAUAUCAGGUGCAUGUCACAAGCUUCUGUAGUAUGGGAAAUACUGAGUCCUUUGAUACCUGAUGGGGCGUGACCACCCUGUAAUUCGGGGUCAGGUCUCUGCCCUUUUGCUCCCUGGCUUUAUGCACCUUUUUCUAUCUAAUCGGAAAGACCACACCGUAAUUUGGGUGCAGAUCAAAAGCCUCUCAUUUAUCAGGGAUUAGGGUUAUUUUAGGGCCCUGAGGAGCAUGACCGCCCUGUAAUCAGGAUUCAGGUCUCAAGUUGUCGUCUGUGAUUAUGCUCUUUAAUUCAGCUAGUCAGAGUGACCACCUUGUAAUCAGGGUGAGAGUCACCAUCCCCUCGCUUAUGGGAGCUACUGAUGUCUUUGUUACUUGAGCUGGGUGACCUCCCUGUAACUAGGGCUCAGGUCUCUGUCCUUUGCUCUUCUGGGUUUGCGUCUUGUUCUCAGCCUGGUCAGCAUGACUGCCCUGUAAUUAGGGUGGAGGUCAUGCGCCUCUUAUUUAGGGAGGACUAGGUUCCCCUUAAUGCGUUGGGCUGAGUGACCACCCUGUAAGUAGGGUUCAGGUCUCCCCCUUUUCUCUUACUUGUGAUGGAUUUUCCAUUAAUCGGCUAGCCCGAGGGACCGCCCUGUAAGAAGGGUUCAGGUCCUUUCCCCUGUGGCUCCUUUGGGUUGUUGGGCUAGUCACUUUGACCCCUCCCUGUAAUCAGGGUGCAGGUCUUGUCCCUUUUCCCUUUGUUUUUUUGCGGGGAGGAAGAUUGGUCGAGUUUAACACUGAGGGUCGAGUGACCGCUUUCGAUGAGCUCUCUUUCUGUUCUGGGAAGUCCCCCUUUGUUUUGUACGGAUGUGUUUGUGAGAGCACGUGAUAGAAGUGGGUGUGCAAGCUUUUUAAUUUUUAGUUAUUUAUUUUUCUUUUUUUAAGUUAAAUCGCUGCAGCGCUUUUUCUUUACUCUUCUCCGAAUCGGAAAAAGAGCUCAAAGGGUAUUAAUGUUUUUAUCCUCCUCCUCCCCACAAAAGGGAAGAGUAAAAGCUCAGAUGUCAUCUUUGAGUGCCUUGGACAGCGUGACCUCCCUGUAAACAGGGAUCUGGUCUCUCCUUUUAGGCUGAGUUCCAUUUAGGGGGCUGAUGACAAUGCCUGGCCUUUAAGGCGGCGGAUUUAGCUCAGGUGCCUGUGACUCACAGGAACUACAGCAUCCCUUAGUACUUGGGCAGCAUGGCCCCACCCUGUAUCGAGGGUUCAGGUCUCUGCGCUUCAUUCUUUUGCCACCAUGCUACUUCAGCCGGUUGGGUUUGAGUCCUGACCUUGUAAUUAAGGGAUUGUCUGUGUCCUUCUGCCUUCUGGGGGAUAUUGAGCUCUGUGGAACCCUGAGCAGUCUGACCGCCCAGUAAGUAGGGUCCAGGUCUUUGCCACUUGCUUAUUUGGCAUUAGGCCAUGCUCUGGUCAACUAGUCAGCGUGACAACCCUGUCAUUAGGGUGCAUGUCACAAAUAUCUAUCGAAUGGGACAUAUUGAGUUCUUUGGUACUUGGAGGAGCUUGACCUUCCUGUAAUUCAGGUUACGGUCUCUGCUCUUUGGCUAAUCCCUGUGACCACCCUGUAAUCAGGUUGCAUCUCUCUUUUGAAAUCUUUGGAAUUGGCACCAUUUCAGCCAGAUGGGCAGUUUGACCUCCCUGUAACUAGGGGUUGAGUCUUCCAGGCCCUUUGGGGCUCUUGGCAUUGUGCUUUCUUCACAGCCUGAGGCGAGUGACCGCCCUGUAAUCAGGGAUCUGGUCUUUGCCCUCUAGUCUCUUGGCACUAGGUCAAGUGCAGCCCACUGAUCUGAAUGAGCACCCUGUAAACAGGGUACAGGUCUCAUCAGACACUAGUUCUGGUGCCCCCAUGAGACUGUGUCCAGAGUCCUGGCCCUUUGCACUGCGCUUUCAACUUGCCUGGAAUUGUGCAGCCAAGUCUCCUGCUUUCUGCUCCGCUUACUGUGCUCUUGGAGACCCGACCUCCUGCUGCUGUUGCAGACAGCUCCAAGCACAAGUGGACAAGGAGGAAGUGUCAGGAAUGUCAAGCAAAGAAGAGUACAAGAGGACAAGUCACUGAAGAUGGAGGAGAAGGAAAGGGACUCUGGGCGCAGUAACCUCCCUGUAUCAGGUCGUGUAAUUACAC